AAAUCAUGGAAGUGGGAAAUAAAAGGAAGGAGCGAGGAGGAGCAUCUCGUCUUGUUUCGAGGGUUCUCUUGGGAGGAUAAAGGUUGGGGACGAGAAGUAUUUCUGCUUGGGGUUGGGUUUUUGUUGGCCAAUUUCUCUUACCUUUCGGUUCACGAUUCAUCUCUGUUAGUUGCUGUCGAUCCACGAGCGGAAUCGGAAUGGUUGUUUCGAUCGGGAGGAAUUGAUGUGCUUGUUGGUCGGUAGGGGUUUUAUUUGAUCAGGUUUGGUGCUUUCUAUUGAUCGUUUGUGGAGUCGAGGGUUUGCGGGUUAGUGGUUUGCUUGCUUUGGUAGAUGGACGAGGCCUGGGAGAGGGCCGUGGAGGCGGCGCUAGGAGGUCUGACGAACUCCUCUUCGACGGCGCCGCCGCCGCGGAGCCUUACGCUGGACGGCUCCGUGAAGUGUCUCCACGGCCGGUUACCGCCGCCGGAGAUUCUGGAGAGGUACCAGUCGCUGGAGCACCUCUCAAUCGCUAACGUCGGAGUGUCCUCGCUGGAGAAGUUCCCGCGACUGCGGAAUCUGCAGCGGCUCAUUCUUUCCGACAACCGUAUAGCUGGCGGGCUCGAGUUUUUGGUGGAGGCGGGGCUCGAGUCACUUCGGGAUCUCGAUCUAUCCAACAACCGGAUCCAGUUCCUGGAGGACUUGGCGCCUCUGGCUCAGCUCCGGCUCGUAUCCUUGGACCUCUAUGAAUGCCCUGUCACGAGGAUCAAGGAUUACCGAUCAAGGGUAUUCGGAAUGAUCCGGACUCUGAGAUAUCUUGAUAAGAUGGAUGCCGAUGAGAAUGAGCGACCGGAGUCUGAUGACGAAGAAGAUGAGGAAGACGAAGAAGAUGAGGAUGAGGAAGAGGAUCCUGGGAGCGGCGAGGUCGAUGGUGAUGAUCGAGCUGGGAAAUUAAUGAAUGGUGUCGGUACCGGUGGAGUGGGUGGGAUUGUUGAUGUUUACGAGGAAGAGGAGAGUGAUGCUGAAGAGGAGACUGAGACUGCUAGGAGGAUCGAUGCCAAUGGUGGGGAGCGGAGGUAUAAUGCAUGUAAUGGAUUUCGGGUGGCCCCAGUCAUGGCAGUUGAUGGAGGAGAGGAUGAGGAGGAAGAGGAUGAUGACAUCGAGGAUGAUGAUGAAGAUGAAGACAUUGAAGAUGAUUUGGGGGAGGAGAUUGAUGCGGAGGAAAGGGACGAGGACGAUGUGGUUGAGGUGCAUGAUGUUGGGGACAGUGAAGAAGAGGUGGACGGGGUUGAAGAGGAGGGUGAAGAAGAGGUGGACGACGAGGAUGAAGAUGGGGAUGGGGAUGAAGACCAGGAAGACGUUGAGGAUGAAGAGGAUGAUGGUGAACCUGAAAGCUCAGGCAGAUUGAUGAGUGCAGAAGGGGAGAUUGAUGGCCACGAACAAGGCGAAGGGGAUGAGGAUGAGAAUGGAGAGAUCGGGGAGGAGGACGAGCAAGGAGUGAAUGAAGAUAGAUAUUCUGCAGAAGGCGAUGAUGAUGGCGAGGAUGAGGAUGAGGAUGAUGAUAAUGAUGGGGAAUAUCUUGUGCAGCCGAUUGCUCAACCUGCCACAGCAAGAGUUGAUUUUGAUGCUUGCAACCAAGAAGAUGAAGAUGAGGUUGACGAUGAUGAAGAUGAUCUUCACAGCAACAUUGCCUUGCAGCAGCAGCCUUCUUCCGCUUCUAAUCCCAACAAGAGGAGGAGAGGGGAAGAAGACGACCUGGAUGAUGACAGUGUUGAAGACCUGAGGCGCUCCAAGCAUCCUUGAUGAUGAUUCACCAGCAGCCUCGUAGGACAUGGUGGGUGUUUUUCCCUUAAAAGUUUGUGUAGUUCAAAGGCUAGGGGGGGGGAACUAAUUCUCUAGCUGGUUUCUUCCUUGCUCAUUUCAAAAGUUCGGUAGUAUCCUGUCAGCGCAUGUUUUCCCGUCUAGCCGUUGGAACCCUUGCUUUUCAAGUGACAGUUAUAUAUGCAUAUACCAGUGGCCAGAGUUUUUUCCCUCCAAAACCAAGCACCAAGUUCAAAUGCGAGAGACAUUUGGUCGUUCUUUGGUAUAUGGCCGGGAGUACCAGCUCGAUCUCAACUCGUUUCUCGUUUAUUUCAUCGAACACCUUGUGUGCGCGUGAUGUGUUGUCAUAUGCUUUGUUAGCAGGCGUCGCUGCAGUACGGUUGCGUCGGGCGAGUUGGGAUGAACCUACCUGCAUCAGCGCCCGCAGCAACAAGUUGGUCUUCACAUCGAGUCUGCCUUGGGCGCGGUCGUGUUCAAUUACAUUCAACCAAACCCACCCGGAAGAAGAUGAGCGGUCAGGCUCCACGAACACGGCGCAGGGAAGCGACCUGCGCCAUCCGCCAGCUUCCGGUGCCCUGCUUCGCUCUCCUAACUGCUCCGUGCUAGGCCAAGGACACCGGGGGCAGCGGAGCUGGUUCGACUGCUCUCGCGCCCGGUGAUUGGUAUCUCCCUACACACGCCGCAGACCACGGGCUGCGACCUGCCGCCGUGCCCGGCCGGUCGUUUGGGGCGCGGAGGGGUGGAACUACUACCUGUUGGUGGCCAGCAUCGUGCGGUGGUCGCUCUACAUCAAGGCCAAGAAUUCGUCGGGGCCGCCGGCGGGGCCCUACGGGCUACUCGGCGCCGCCCUCGCCAUCGUCGCCGUCUUUGGCUUGCAGUGCUUUGUUUGAGCUUUCCAUCUCUUCUCUUUGCAAAGCCAGCAUCUCAUCGUUAUUUUAUAUGUUCGAGUAGAAGUCAAAUCAUAUAGUCACUUCGUUUCUUUA